rnacentral:tRNA from 1 species
CCAUUGGUGGUUCAGUGGUAGAAUUCCUACUUUCUAUGCAGAAGACCCAGGUUCGAUCCCCAGCCAAUGCA